rnacentral:rRNA from 1 species
UACGAGUGCCCCAAGCGUUAUCCGGAAUCACUGGGCGUAAAGGGUAUGUAGGUGGUUUUGCUAGUCCUUCGUUAAAGCUCCCGGCUUAACCGGGAAAAUGCGCGGGAAACGGCAAGACUAGAGGGUGUGAGAGGUUUGCAGAACUCAUGGUGUAGGGGUGAAAUCCGUUGAUAUCAUGGGGAAUACCAAAUGCGAAGGCAGCAAACUGGCACAUUCCUGACACUGAGAUACGAAAGCGUGGGUAGCGAAUGGG